AGACGUAGGUGGAAAGAGGUGUAAGGAGGUAUUGGGAGGAAAGAGAGAGCAGGCGGUUUCUUAAGGCUGAUGUGAAAGCCCCCGGCUCAACCGGGGAGGGUCAUUGGAAACUGGGAGACUUGAGUGCAGAAGAGGAGAGUGGAAUUCCAUGUGUAGCGGUGAAAUGCGUAGAUAUAUGGAGGAACACCAGUGGCGAAGGCGGCUCUCUGGUCUGUAACUGACGCUGAGGCUCGAAAGCGUGGGGAGCAAACAGGAUUAGAUACCCUGGUAGUCCACGCCGUAAACGAUGAGUGCUAAGUGUUGGAGGGUUUCCGCCCUUCAGUGCUGCAGCUAACGCAUUAAGCACUCCGCCUGGGGAGUACGACCGCAAGGUUGAA
rnacentral:rRNA from 1 species